AUGCCGGCCACUAGGUGGCGCUAUACCAAGGAAUACGCGUUUGGGGCUAUAACUCCCACACCGAACCUCCCACAGUCAAAAACUUGUACGCACAUAUUCACUGGAGUCUGCUGCAUCUUUUGGCAUAGGCCACGCCCAUUUGCGUCUAUAAUUUUUUUUCGCAAAAUCGCGAAAACCGCAAAACAGUUAAUGAUAGACACUUUUUUGAUCCGACCCUCGCCGACGAAACGGUAGCGUUUUGAAUAUUUGUUUAUUAGCUAAAUUAGACGUGGAAAAUUAAAAAUCCAAAAUUAGGCAUCGGAUCGAGUCCAAAUUCUACAUACAUGUUGGUGCUUACCUUAUUGACGUUCGAUAAAAAUUUCGGAAAAUUUCGCCUUUAGGGGGCGCAAUAAACGAGGAAAUUGUAUAUCUUCUAAUUGGCCAAAGGAAUGUUCUUCAAACUCAAGGGAAACCAUCAAGGGGCAAACCCGAGUCUAUAUAGAAAAUAUGGCCAAGAAUUAUUAAUGUGGGCGGGAGUUAUUUGGCAAAGGAAAAUUGUCUUUGGAAAAUGUCGCCACAGGGCGGCGCCAAAAAACGACGACAUUGUCUAUCUCCUAUUUGGCCAAUGUUCUGAAAACGCGUUUUAGGCUAUAAAUCCCACACCGAAGCUCCCACAGUCAAAACCUUUAUAUCCACAUGUUGUUCACGGUAGCGUUUUGAAUACUUGCUUCGUGUUGUGCCGGCGAAACACACAUUUCUUGUCGGCGAAAUGCACACUUCUUGGACCCCUGCAUAACUGCUUGCAGUUCUAGUUAUUAUUAUUAUUAUUAUUAUUUCCCUCUAGAAGUGGGCCCACAGCCCAAACCGUAAAUGGUGCCGACACGCCAAUUGCAUGACUAGAUCCAGGUCCGUGAACAUUACGCAGACCACAAAAAUACAGACACGCCGGCCACUAGGUGGCGCUAUACCAAGGGAAAACGCGUUUGGGGCUAUAACUCCCACACCGAACCUCCCACAGUCCAAAAACUUGUACACACAUAUUCACUGGAGUCUGCUGCAACUUUUGGCAUAGGCCACGCCCAUUUGCGUCUAUAAUUUUUUUUCGCAAAAUCGCGAAAACCGCAAAACUGUAUUUUCCCUACUCCUCCCACAUUUCUUGACCAAUCGACACCAAACUUUGCACACGGCAUCUUCAGACGCACACGCAUAGAAUUGAUAGACACUUUUUUGAUCGGACCUUCGACGACGAAACGGUAGCGUUUUGAAUAUUGGUUUAUGAGCUAAAUUAGACGUGGAAAAUCAAAAAUCCAAAGAAAUCCAAAAUUAGACAUCGGAACGAGUCCAAAUUUUACAGACAUGUUGGUGCUAACCUUAAUGACGUUCGAUAAAAAUUUCGGAAAAUUUCGCCAUUAGGGGGCGCAAUAAACGACGAAAUUGUAUAUCUUCUAAUUGGCCAAAGGAAUGUUCUUCAAACUAAAGGGAAACCAUCAAGGGGCAAACCCGAGUCUAUAUAGAAAAUAUGGCCAAGAAUUAUUAAUAUGGGCGGGAGUUAUUUGGCAAAGGAAAAUUGUCUUUGGAAAAUUUCGCCACAGGGCGGCCCCAAAAAACGACGACAUUGUCUAUCUCCUAUUUGGCCAAUGGAAUGUUCUGAAAACGCGUUCUAGGCUAUAACUCCCACACCGAAGCUCCCACAAUCAAAACCUUUAUAUCCACAUGUUGUUCACGGUAGC
rnacentral:lncRNA from 1 species